UACGAAGGGGGCUAGCGUUGCUCGGAAUGACUGGGCGUAAAGGGUGCGUAGGCGGCGAGAUAAGUCAGGCGUGAAAUUCCUGGGCUCAACCUGGGGACUGCGUUUGAGACUGUUUGGCUAGAGGAUGGAAGAGGCUCGUGGAAUUCCCAGUGUAGAGGUGAAAUUCGUAGAUAUUGGGAAGAACACCGGUGGCGAAGGCGGCGAGCUGGUCCAUUACUGACGCUGAGGCACGAUAGCGUGGGGAGCAAACAGG
rnacentral:rRNA from 1 species